rnacentral:rRNA from 1 species
CCGCGUGAGGGAUGAAGGCCUUCGGGUUGUAAACCUCUUUCAGUAGGGAAGAAGCGAAAGUGACGGUACCUAAAGAAGAAGCACCGGCUAACUAUGUGCCAGCAGCCGCGGUAAUACAUAGGGUGCAAGCGUUGUCCGGAAUUAUUGGGCGUAAAGAGCUCGUAGGUUGUCUAUCACGUCGGAUGUGAAAAUCUGAGGCUUAACCUCAGACCUGCAUUCGAUACGGGUUAACUAGAGUGUGGUAGGGGAGACUGGAAUUCCUGGUGUAGCGGUGGAAUGCGCAGAUAUCAGGAGGAGCACCGAUGGCGAAGGCAGGUCUCUGGGCCAUUACUGACACUGAGGAGCGAAAGCGUGGGGAGCGAACAGGAUUAGAUACCCUGGUAGUCCACGCCGUAAACGGUGGAUGCUAGUUGUGGGAACCUUCCACGGUUUCUGCGACGCAGCUAACGCAUUAAGCAUCCCGCCUGGGGAGUACGAUCGCAAGAUUG